GUAGUGCUGGCUCACAGCAGUCUGAGUCUGCAUCUCCCUUAAUUGGCAGUGACUCAAUGGCUGGAGAGGCUGGAUGUCUUCUCGUGCUUCUGUGCCAUCGGCAUGUCCUCUUUGGUGAAAUCACUUCAUAUGUUUUGCUUAUUUUCUGCUUGGAUUGUUUUCGUACUGGUGAGCUGGGUGAACCCAGUAGCUUCAGCCACAGCUGGGAACUGAAGCAGCAUCUGAAGUCCCUCUCAUUCUCCCAGCGUGAGCCGGCGGACCCUGAAGGGAACGCUGAGACUGACCACAGCUGGACUUGCGCCGCCUCGUCCUCUUAGUGAAUGAGGUCCUCAGAGGCUUAAGCACGCGUUAGUUAUCCAAAAUGCUUCUGUUCAGGCGAAUGCACGAAGCGUUGAGGUAGGUCAACUGCAUUUUGUACGGUGGAAAAGUAAUAACCAGUUUGCUUUUUGUAUUAUGAUGAAAAUGAAAACCCUUCCUUAAAGGAAAGGAAGCAUAAUCUCAGAAAUCUGAAUCCAGGGAAUCCCAAAUAACCCCCCCAAAUUUUAAUCCUUGACAUUCAUAAUCACUUGGAUUAAAAUCUAAGGGAAAAAAAAAAUCACAGGCUGACUUUUUUUUUUUGAGACGGAGUCUCGCUCUGUCGCCCAGGCUGGAGUGCGGUGGCGCAAUCUCGGCUCACUGCAAGCUCCGCCUCCCGGGUUCACGCCAUUCUCCUGCCUCAGCCUCCCGAGUAGCUGGGACCACAGGCACCCGCCACUGCGCCCGCCUAAUUUUUUUGUAUUUUUAGUAGAGAUGGGGUUUCAUUUAGUAGAGAUGGUGUUAGCCAGGAUGGUCUCGAUCUCCUGACCUCGUGAUCCGCCCGCCUCCGCCUCCUAAAAUGCUGGGAUUACAGGCCUGAGCCACCGCGCCCAGCCUACAACAGGAAGACUUUGUUAAAUGAAUGAGGGCGCAGGGAAGAGCAGGUGCUUUGUGAACUUGAGAGCUUCACUUCCUAAUCCUGUGACUCCAACAUUCAAUUAAAGGUAAAGAAAACCAGCAAGACGAGGUAGGGAGUUCUGUAUCCUGUGUUUUUUCUUUUUUUCUUCUUUUUAUUUUUUGUUUUUGAGACAGAGUCUCACUCUGUUACCCAGGCUGGAGUGCAAUGGCAUGAUCUUGGCUCACCGCAACCUCCGCCUCCUGGGUUCAAGCGAUUCUCCUGUCUUAGCCUCCUGAGUAGCUGGGACUACAGGCGUAUGCCAAUACACCCAGCUAAUUUUUGUUUUUUAGUAGAGAUGGGGAUUUCACCAUGUUGGCCAGGCUGGUCUCGAACUCCUGACCUCGUGAUCCAGGGCCCCCCUCCCCCCUCCACCAAGCUUCCAAAGUGCUGGGAUUACAGGUGCGAGCCACUGCGCCGGGCUCCACAUCCACUUUUUUAAAAAUUGUAGUAAAAAACAUAUUGACAUAAAAUUUACCAUCUUAAUCAUUUUAAAAUGCACAGUUCAGUGGUGUUAAGCAUAUUAACGUUGUUGUGAAACCGAUCUCCAAAACAUUUUCAUCUUGCAAAUCUGAAACUUUGCACUCAUUAAACAACUCCCAUUUCCCCCAUCUGCCCAGCCCCUCGUAACCAGCAUUCUACUUUUUGUUUCUAUGCAUUUGACUACUUCAGGUUAUCACAUAAGCAGAAUCAUACUUCUGCGACUGGCUUAUUUCACUUAGCGUAAUAUCCUCAAGGUUCAUCUCUGUUGUAGCUAGUAUGUUAGCUGCAGUCUUUCCUUUUUAAGGCUGGCUAAAAUUCCAUUGUGUGUAUGUACUACAUGCUGUUUACCUGUUCAUCCAUUGAUGAACAUUUGGGUUGCUUCCGCCUUUUUUUUUUUUUUUUUUUUUUUGAGACGGAGUCUUGCUCUGUCACCAGGCUGGAGCGCAGUGGUGCCAUCUUGGCUCACUGCAACCUCCGCUUCCCAGGUUCAAGCUAUUUUACUGCCUCAGCCUCCUGAGUAGCUGGGAUUACAGGCACCCACCACCACGCCCAGCUAGUUUUUGUAUUUUUAAUAGAGACAGGGUUUCACCAUGUUGGCCAGGCUGGUCUUAAACUCCUGACCUCAAGCAAUCCACCCACCUCGGUCUCCCAAAGUGCUGGGAUUACAGGUGUGAGCCACCGCACCUGGCCAGCUUCCACCUCUUAGGCACUGUGAAUAAAGUUGCUAUAAACAUGGGUGUGCAAAUAUCUCUGAGACCCUGCUUUCCAUUCUUCUGGAUAAAUACCCCGAGGAGGCACUACUGGAUCGCAUGUGGGUCUCUUCCUACUAUAUGGCUGUGCCAUUUUACAUUCCCACCAACAGUGCACAAGGGUUCCAGUUUCUCCAUUCCUCACCAACACUUGUUAUUUUGUUUUUCUUCUGAUAGUAGCCAUUCUAAUGGAUGUGUGGUAGUAUCUCAUUGUGAUUUUGAUUUGCAUUUCUCUGACCAUCAGGGAUACUGAGAUGCUUUGCAUAGGCUUGUUGGCCACUUGUUUAUCCUCACUGGAGAACUGUCCAUUCAAGCCCUUUGCCCAUUUUUUAAUUGGGUUAUUUAACUUUGCUUCUUGUUGAGUUGUAGGAGUCUUCAUACAUUCUGAAUGUUAACUCUUUUCACAUAUAUGAUUUGCAAAUAUUUUUCCCGUUUUAUAGGCUGCCUUCUCACUCUGUUGAUUGUGUCCCUGUACGCACAAAAACGUUUACAUUUGAUGUGCUCCCAUUGGUCUAUGUUUUCUUUUGUUGCCUAGGCUUUUGGUAUCAUACCCAAGAAAUCACUGCUAAAUCCAGUAUCUUGAAGCUUACCCUCUAUGUUUUCUUCUAGGAGUUUUAGUUUUCGUGAUUAUGUUUAAGUCUUUAAGCCAUUUUGAGUUAAUUUUUGUAUAUAGUAUAAGAGUUGUGGUACUUAAAAAAAAAUAGCUAUGAUGCAUUCCACUGAAUAAAUGUACAAUCACUUAUGUGACCCUUUCGAUAGCCACCUGGGGGCAUUUCCAGUGUUUUGCUGCUAUCAACAACUGUGACACGAAUACCCUUUAUACUACCCUCUCUCACACACAAGAACAACUGUUUCCCUGUCUUCUUAUUUAAAAUCAACUCCUGGCUGGCGUGUUUCAAGUUUUUUACUUCCUCAUUUGUAUUGUAACUCCUAACCUUUAAACCCUUAGCACCAGAUAUAUUUUGGAAUUCAGAAACUUUCAGAUUUUGGAAAGAUAACAUGGUACAUAUGCUAUGCAUUACCAAAUCCUCAUCAUAAAUAAAAUCUGAGAAUAUUUC